AGAACGUGUUUUAAUGAAGCCUGGGAAAGCCUGUGACAUCAAAGAAUCCUUUCUUCCUUCUUUCUUGUUUGUGUUUGUUGCCUGCAGUUCCAAGCAGGUGGACUCUCAGUGUCUUGCAAGUGACAGCUAGCAGCAGCAGGUCCAGCCAGGAGGCACAGCACCCUGCAACCUCCAGGGGCCUUUGUGCAACAGCAGAUGUUGAUGCCCUAGAAGCACGGUGCGGAGCACAUCCUGGGAUCAAGGUGCCACGGACUGGAAAAUGCUGCUGUGGCGGAGUUCCUGUGUGAAGACAAAACUCCCAGUCCCCCAGAAAAGUGGAGGCAGAAGAGCAGUGACAAGGCAUUGUGUUUAACUUAAAAAACUUAAAAAAUGAACGGACGAAGAAUAGCUUUGUUUGCAUUCUGGUAACUGCUGAGGCUUUGGCUGACGACAGCUUUCAGCUGCACCUGAACUAGGCUGGAUUUGUCUCCUGCUCUCCAUAGGUGAGUAUUUCUCUUGCAGACCUUUGAAUCAAUGAUUCCCCUGCUAUUUGUCUCUUCUGGUUGCUGGAGAGAAGAGCUGCAAUGUCACAUCCUGAUCCGUAAGGUGCUCAAGCUUGGUGAUUGUCAGUAAUUCAGGAUAUGCUUGCUUUUCUUUAAGUGAACUAAGGGAUAAGCUAUCAUGCUGUGCCAUUUCUUUUCCUGUGCGUAAUGCCAAGGGAUAGGGCUGCAGGUGCCUGCUGGUUCACGGGACAUCCCAGAGCUUUGUACACAGCUUAAGUGAUGGAACAGGAAAGACUCCAAUAUGGUAAAAACGUGAUUUCUAGUGUUUUGGUACGUAUAUUCAAGUCAGUAUGGGUCCAUUUCAGACAGCAUCGUCUCACAUCUGUUUGUUGUCUCAUAUCAAACGCAUUUUUACUGAUUUGGCUACAUACAUACUCCACCCAUAGUUUGCGUAUUGUCUUCUUAGGGUGAGGUUUGCCUGCUGAACAGCGAUACAAAAGAAGCUUAAAUUACAGAAGCAGAGAAGCAGAGACAGUCUAGAGGCUCAAUACAGUAGGGAUCAGUUAGAGUAUUACUUUGAAGUUGUUGUGUUCUGGGUCUUAGGUGGGAUGAGAGACGGGUGUGAAUGUUACAGCCAAGUGUUUUUCCCUGGUUCAUUGCUCACCUGCUGCCAUGCAAGCCAGCUCUUCUUUUCCCUGCCUCUGCUUUUCUUGUUGCAUGCAUAUGCAUCGCAAAAUCUCUGAACAGAUUUAUUUUCACGUUUUAACAGUGUAUAGCUAGAAGUGGGGCUUAUCUCAUCAUCUGAUGGAGAUUGGUUGUGUAUGGGGGAGUUUGCACGAAUUAUUAGCAUCUCACCAAAAGCAAG
ensembl:lncRNA